UACGAAGGGGGCUAGCGUUGCUCGGAAUCACUGGGCGUAAAGCGCACGUAGGCGGAUUGUUAAGUCAGGGGUGAAAUCCUGGAGCAUCAACUCCAGAACUGCCUUUGAUACUGGCGAUCUUGAGUCCGGGAGAGGUGAGUGGAACUGCGAGUGUAGAGGUGAAAUUCGUAGAUAUUCGCAAGAACACCAGUGGCGAAGGCGGCUCACUGGCCCGGUACUGACGCUGAGGUGCGAAAGCGUGGGGAGCAAACAGG
rnacentral:rRNA from 1 species